GCGUGUCAGGGUGAAGAUAUAGAAUGUCUUGACAUUUAUAUUUCUGAAAAAAUUUCUUUUAUAUGUGCACAACGCGAAGUUUUAGACAUUGAAUAUAUUAAAUUGCAGGUGGAGUGUGAAAACCUAGAAAAAAUAUCUAAAAGCAGCAUGGGGACUCAGGAAAGGUCACUUAAUAAGGCCCUUAAAGAUAAGGUUGAGCGACAAGCGUACCAUGGUAAUGUGUUUGUGGGUAAUCAUUGCAAAAUAGUCUUAAGAAACCACUAUAAACUUUGUAGUGUUACUGAUGAUGAAGCUAUUAAAAAUAGAUUUGUAUCUGUGUUUAAUGUUUUUAAUAAGUUGCAACCUAUUCUUUUUAAGCGAAAAUUUCUUUUUGAUGCCGAAAUUACUGAGCUUCAUCAAUAUAUAAAUUUAUUUGCUAUCGAGUUUCAUGCUUGAACUCAUUUUUCACGCGAAAAAUGCAUGAACUCAUUUUUAAUGUGCCACUUUUUGUAAAAUUGCAUAAAACUAUUGGUUUGCUGAGUGAAGAGGAGGAAGAGUGUUUGCAUAAUAGUGUAAAUAAGGAAUUAAGACAGUUGCAUUCAGUAAGAAAUCAGGAACAGAAGCUGCGUCUUGUUUUAAAACGCUUUGAAUUGCACAGCAAAGCUUAUAGGAAGCUUCAAGCCUCUAAGGUAAGAAAGUGUGUUGUGUGUUCUAAGCGUGGUGAAAAUUCGUUUUAUAGACGAGGCCUUUGUCUUGUUUGUGGUCAUAAAAUUUAGUCUAAGUAAUUACAAAAUAAAGUUUUUAAAAUACUUAUUAUUUUUUAUUAUUAAUUUUAUAUAUUAGAUAGAUGCCCAUUUCAUUCUUAUCUUCACAAGUUAAUUAUACUUAUGCAAUACCAUCCAGGUUAAAGAAUGGUACAUAAGUCUUGCAUCAAAUGGGUAUAAAAAUAUAACUUACUACUUUAACUUAUGAGCAGAGCAACUGAUGCCCUUUCAAUUAUUAUCAUCAGAAGUUAAUUCUACCUCUGCAGUACCUCUCCUCAACAUAACUUCUCUCUGGUUAAAGAAUAGAAUUUAAGUCUCAUAAAUAACAAAAUGGAGCGUGAAUCUAAUAUCAACCGGGUGUUUAAAGAUCGUUUUCUACUUAAAGGACAGAAUCAGUAGAUCAACUUAUUAUAAAACAGUUUUAUAUGAGAAUAAAAACACAUCAAACAA